rnacentral:rRNA from 1 species
UACGGGGGGGGCAAGCGUUGUUCGGAAUUACUGGGCGUAAAGGGCUCGUAGGCGGCCAACUCAGUCGGACGUGAAAUCCCUCGGCUUAACCGGGGAAUGGCGUCCGAUACUGGAUGGCUUGAGUUUGGGAGAGGGAUGCGGAAUUCCAGGUGUAGCGGUGAAAUGCGUAGAUAUCUGGAGGAACACCGGUGGCGAAGGCGGCAUCCUGGACCAACACUGACGCUGAGGAGCGAAAGCGUGGGGAGCGAACAGG